UGGCCCGUUGGUCAAGCGGUUAAGACACCGCCCUUUCACGGCGGUAACACGGGUUCGAAUCCCGUACGGUCAU
rnacentral:tRNA from 1 species